UGAGGGAACCGGUCCUGGUCGCGUGCACCCGAACAGCCUGCCCUGGUACCCCGGUGCUCUGACCCAGUCCAAUCAUGACCCUGCGCCCUUUGCUCCUGCCGCUUCGGCUGUUGCUGCUGCUGCUGAUCAGUGGGGCGGUGUGCCAGGCUGAGGCUGAGGUAGAAACCGAAAGUCCUGUCCGGACCCUCCAAGUGGAGACCCUGGUGCAGCCCCCUGAAUCGUGCACGGAGUCCGCUGCCUUUGGAGACACGCUCCACAUACACUACACGGGCAGCUUGGCAGAUGGACGCAUUAUUGACACUUCUCUGACCAGAGAUCCUCUGGUCAUAGAACUUGGCCAAAAGCAGGUGAUCCCAGGUAUGUGACCCAUGCCUUUGUCCUCUUCCUAAGCCCUUGCUUAGCGUCUUAAACGUCGAAGUUAUUCUAGAAAAGCUAGAAUGAUAAAUACCCCCGAGGAUCUUCUUUCUGCUACCUUGUGUUUUCUCUUCCUGUCCCACAUAUCACUGGGGCAAAGAGUUGGAGAAGUGGACUUAAACUCACUUGAUGAAGGUCCACGGGGAGCCUUUGAUUUUCCUCCUGGGUACUGUGGGGGAUAUGUGUAGCUUCUAGUUCAGUUAUGUCUUCUUCCUCAAGGUCUGGAGCAGAGCCUUCUGGACAUGUGUGUAGGGUGAGUAUCUGAGAUCUGGGGCUGACCACCCGGGCCCCUUGCCCGGGCAGAAGGAAUCUCUACCAUCUCACCUCCUGUAGGGAGGGCCUUUUCAUCCUGGAAAAGUGCAGGUUAAUGGGACCCCUGAGGGCACUUCUCUGACCGUCAGUUUUAUCGGGGAGUUGAGGCGUUGUAAGGAGAUUGGUAGCUUUGCUGGUCUACCCGUCAGGUGGAGAAAUUCAUGUUUUGGUGUCCAUAUCUGAGGUGGGGGUGAGGCGCUUCUGCUGAUGGAGCUUCAGAUGGUUGAGGCUGCCAGCUCACCUCCCUCGACCUGCAAUUCUCAUUCCUCCCCUCAGGGAGAAGCGAAGAGCAGUCAUUCCUUCUCACUUGGCUUAUGGAAAGAGAGGGUACCCACCAUCUAUCCCAGCCGAUGCAGUGGUGCAGUAUGAUGUGGAGCUGAUCGCCUUGAUUCGAGCCAACUACUGGCAAAAGCUGCUGAAGGGCAUUUUGCCUCUGGUAGGCAUGGCCAUGGUGCCAGCACUCCUGGGCCUGAUUGGGUAUCACCUAUACAAAAAGGCCAGCACACCCAGAGUCUCCAAAAAGAAGCUGAAAGAAGAGAAACGAAACAAGAGUAAGAAGAAAUAAAUAGUGCUUUCUAACG
rnacentral:lncRNA from 1 species